GAUGAACGCUGGCGGCGUGCUUAACACAUGCAAGUCGAACGGUGAACGAGGGAGCUUGCUCCCUCCGGAUCAGUGGCGAACGGGUGAGUAACACGUGAGCAAUCUGCCCCGAACUCUGGGAUAAGCGCUGGAAACGGCGUCUAAUACCGGAUACGACGCGCGAAGGCAUCUUCUGCGCGUGGAAAGAAUUUCGGUUCGGGAUGAGCUCGCGGCCUAUCAGCUAGUUGGUGAGGUAACGGCUCACCAAGGCGACGACGGGUAGCCGGCCUGAGAGGGUGACCGGCCACACUGGGACUGAGACACGGCCCAGACUCCUACGGGAGGCAGCAGUGGGGAAUAUUGCACAAUGGGCGCAAGCCUGAUGCAGCAACGCCGCGUGAGGGACGACGGCCUUCGGGUUGUAAACCUCUUUUAGUAGGGAAGAAGCGAAAGUGACGGUACCUGCAGAAAAAGCACCGGCUAACUACGUGCCAGCCGCUGCCGUAAAAC
rnacentral:rRNA from 1 species